rnacentral:misc_RNA from 1 species
CACACACCAGUUGCAGCCAACCCGCGGCGAACGAACACACUGUCCCCUCGGCGGGUCGUGGCGCCUCGCGGCGUCGCGGCCGGCCACCUCCCUUCGCCAAUCGCCACGCGCGCGCGGCGUCGGGUUUCCACGAUGAAUCCACCCUAAGUGACUGAGUCCCGAAUUUGACUUCGUGAAGAGGAGUGAGCUCCGCCCCCUUGGUCGCUUCGGCUGAGGGGUCGGCGCUGGUUACCUCGCGAGUUGAAACAGGUCAUAUAACACCA